AUUGAACGCUGGCGGCAGGCCUAACACAUGCAAGUCGAGCGGAUGACGGGAGCUUGCUCCUUGAUUCAGCGGCGGACGGGUGAGUAAUGCCUAGGAAUCUGCCUGGUAGUGGGGGACAACGUUUCGAAAGGAACGCUAAUACCGCAUACGUCCUACGGGAGAAAGCAGGGGACCUUCGGGCCUUGCGCUAUCCGAUGAGCCUAGGUCGGAUUAGCUAGUAGGUGAGGUAAUGGCUCACCUAGGCGACGAUCCGUAACUGGUCUGAGAGGAUGAUCAGUCACACUGGAACUGAGACACGGUCCAGACUCCUACGGGAGGCAGCAGUGGGGAAUAUUGGACAAUGGGCGAAAGCCUGAUCCAGCCAUGCCGCGUGUGUGAAGAAGGUCUUCGGAUUGUAAAGCACUUUAGGUUGGGAGGAAGGGUUGUACGUUAAUACCGUGCAAUUUUGACGUUACCGACAGAAUAAGCACCGGCUAACUCUGUGCCAGCAGCCGCAGUAAGAC
rnacentral:rRNA from 1 species